UACGUAGGGUGCGAGCGUUGUCCGGAAUUAUUGGGCGUAAAGAGCUCGUAGGCGGUGUGUCGCGUCGGCCGUGAAAAACCUGCAGCUUAACUGUGGGCUUGCGGUCGAUACGGGCAUCACUGGAGUUCGGCAGGGGAGACUGGAAUUCCUGGUGUAGCGGUGAAAUGCGCAGAUAUCAGGAGGAACACCGGUGGCGAAGGCGGGGUCUCUUGGGCAGUUACUGACGUGAGGAGCGAAAGCGUGGGGGAGCAACGG
rnacentral:rRNA from 1 species